CCGCCCGUCACACCAUGGGAGUUGGUAAUACCCAAAGACGGUUUAGUUAACCUCGGAGACGGCUGUCUAAGGUAGGAUCGAUGACUGGGGUGAAGUCGUAACAAGGUAUCCCUACGAGAACGUGGGGAUGGAUCACCUCCUUU
rnacentral:rRNA from 1 species